AGCUAUAUGACAUAUUAUAUAGUUGUUUCUGCUCCAUGAUUAUUAAAUAGCCGCGGUACUCUGACUGUGCUAAGGUAGCAUAAUCAAUUGGCUCUUAAUUGGGGUCUAGGAUGAAUGAAUUCAUGGAUAGCAACUGUCUUUAUUAUAUUAAUAUUAAGUUGGUUAGUAAGUGCAAAUACUUACAGCUUAAUAAAAGACGAGAAGACCCUAGAAACUUGAUAUAAGGUUUUGUUGGGGCGACAGAAUUACAUAGAACUAAUUUUAUUUACUGGACGUAAUAAAGCAAGAAUAAGUUACUCUAGGGAUAACAGCAUAAUUUCAAUAGUUUGUGACCUCGAUGUUGGACUAGGUAUGGUAUUUUUCAGAUAAAAAUAUUAUUUGCUCUGUUCGAGCAGUUUCACCUACAU
rnacentral:rRNA from 1 species